AGUGAACGCUGGCGGUAGGCCUAACACAUGCAAGUCGAACGGCAGCACAGUAAGAGCUUGCUCUUACGGGUGGCGAGUGGCGGACGGAUGAGGAAUACAUCGGAAUCUACUUUUUCGUGGGGGAUAACGUAGGGAAACUUACGCUAAUACCGCAUACGACCUACGGGUGAAAGCUGGGGAUCUUCGGACCUUGCGCGAUUGAAUGAGCCGAUGUCGGAUUAGCUAGUUGGCGGGGUAAAGGCCCACCAAGGCGACGAUCCGUAGCUGGUCUGAGAGGAUGAUCAGCCACACUGGAACUGAGACACGGUCCAGACUCCUACGGGAGGCAGCAGUGGGGAAUAUUGGACAAUGGGCGCAAGCCUGAUCCAGCCAUACCGCGUGGGUGAAGAAGGCCUUCGGGUUGUAAAGCCCUUUUGUUGGGAAAGAAAAGCAGCAGGUUAAUACCCCGCUGUUCUGACGGUACCCAAAGAAUAAGCACCGGCUAACUUCGUG
rnacentral:rRNA from 1 species